GACUAACGCUGGCGGCGUGCCUAACACAUGCAAGUCGAACGGGCUUUUGUUGGAUAGCAAUAUUUGGCGAAAGCUAGUGGCGAACGGGUGAGUAACACGUAGGUAAUCUACCUUCGAGAUGGGAACAACGCAGGGAAACUUGUGUUAAUGCCCAAUGAGACCACGUCCCGGGAGGGAUGCGGGAAAAGGCUGGGCGAAAGUCUGGCGCUUGAAGAUGAGCCUGCGGCCUAUCAGCUAGUUGGCAGGGUAAAAGCCUACCAAGGCGAAGACGGGUAGCCGGCCUGAGAGGGUGAUCGGCCACACUGGGACUGAGACACGGCCCAGACUCCUACGGGAGGCAGCAGUGAGGAAUUUUCCGCAAUGGGCGCAAGCCUGACGGAGCGACGCCGCGUGAAGGAUGAAGGUUUUCGGAUUGUAAACUUCUUUUGUCGGGGAAAAAGAUUUGCGUGCUCAUACCACGCAAGUUUGAUGGUACUCGGCGAAUAAGCCCCGGCUAACUCUGUG
rnacentral:rRNA from 1 species